UAUCAUCGGUAUAUUAGAGUUGUAUAAGAGAUGUUGUAGGUGUUGUGAAUGGGGAUAGAGUACGUUAUCAUCGGUAUAUUAGAGUUGUAUAAGAGAUGUUGUAGGUGUUGUGAAUGGGGAUAGAGUACGUUAUCAUCGGUAUAUUAGAGUUGUAUAAGAGAUGUUGCAGGUGUUGUGAAUGGGGAUAGAGUACGUUAUCAUCGGUAUAUUAGAGUUGUAUAAGAGAUGUUGUAGGUGUUGUGAAUGGGUAUAGAGUACGUUAUCAUCGGUAUAUUAGAGUUGUAUAAGAGAUGUUGUAGGUGUUGUGAAUGGGUAUAGAGUACGUUAUCAUCGGUAUAUUAGAGUUGUAUAAGAGAUGUUGUAGGUGUUGUGAAUGGGUAUAGAGUACGUUAUCAUCAGUAUAUUAGAGUUGUAUAAGAGAUGUUGGUGUUUUGAAUGGGGAUAGAGUACGUUAUCAUCGGUAUAUUAGAGUUGUAUAAGAGAUGUUGGUGUUUUGAAUGGGGAUAGAGUACGUUAUCAUCGGUAUAUUAGAGUUGUAUAAGAGAUGUUGUAGGUGUUGUGAAUGGGGAUAGAGUACGUUAUCAUCGGUAUAUUAGAGUUGUAUAAGAGAUGUUGUAGGUGUUGUGAAUGGGGAUAGAGUACGUUAUCAUCGGUAUAUUAGAGUUGUAUAAGAGAUGUUGUAGGUGUUGUGAAUGGGUAUAGAGUACGUUAUCAUCGGUAUAUUAGAGUUGUAUAAGAGAUGUUGGUGUUUUGAAUGGGUAUAGAGUACGUUAUCAUCUGUAUAUUAGAGUUGUAUAAGAGAUGUUGGUGUUUUGAAUGGGGAUAGCGUCCGUUAUCAUCGGUAUAUUAGAGUUGUAUAAGAGAUGUUGUAGGUGUUGUGAAUGGGGAUAGAGUACGUUAUCAUCGGUAUAUUAGAGUUGUAUAAGAGAUGUUGUAGGUGUUCUGAAUGGGUAUAGAGUACGUUAUCAUUGGUAUAUUAGAGUUGUAUAAGAGAUGUUGUAGGUGUUGUGAAUGGGUAUAGAGUACGUUAUAAUCGGUAUAUUAGAGUUGUAUAAGAGAUGUUGGUGUUUUGAAUGGGGAUAGCGUCCGUUAUCAUCGGUAUAUUAGAGUUGUAUAAGAGAUGUUGUAGGUGUUGUGAAUGGGGAUAGAGUAAGUUAUCAUCGGUAUAUUAGAGUUGUAUAAGAGAUGUUGUAGGUGUUGUGAAUGGGUAUAGAGUACGUUAUCAUCGGUAUAUUAGAGUUGUAUAAGAGAUGUUGGUGUUUUGAAUGGGGAUAGAGUAUGUUAUCAUCUGUAUAUUAGAGUUGUAUAAGAGAUGUGGUAGGUGUUGUGAAUGGGUAUAGAGUACGUUAUCAUCGGUAUAUUAGAGUUGUAUAAGAGAUGUUGUAGGUGUUGUGAAUGGGUAUAGAGUACGUUAUCAUCGGUAUAUUAGAGUUGUAUAAGAGAUGUUGUAGGUGUUGUGAAUGGGUAUAGAGUACGUUAUCAUCAGUAUAUUAGAGUUGUAUAAGAGAUGUUGGUGUUUUGAAUGGGGAUAGAGUACGUUAUCAUCGGUAUAUUAGAGUUGUAUAAGAGAUGUUGGUGUUUUGAAUGGGGAUAGAGUACGUUAUCAUCGGUAUAUUAGAGUUGUAUAAGAGAUGUUGUAGGUGUUGUGAAUGGGGAUAGAGUACGUUAUCAUCAGUAUAUUAGAGUUGUAUAAGAGAUGUUGUAGGUGUUGUGAAUGGGGAUAGAGUACGUUAUCAUCGGUAUAUUAGAGUUGUAUAAGAGAUGUUGUAGGUGUUGUGAAUGGGUAUAGAGUACGUUAUCAUCGGUAUAUUAGAGUUGUAUAAGAGAUGUUGGUGUUUUGAAUGGGUAUAGAGUACGUUAUCAUCUGUAUAUUAGAGUUGUAUAAGAGAUGUUGGUGUUUUGAAUGGGGAUAGCGUCCGUUAUCAUCGGUAUAUUAGAGUUGUAUAAGAGAUGUUGUAGGUGUUGUGAAUGGGGAUAGAGUACGUUAUCAUCGGUAUAUUAGAGUUGUAUAAGAGAUGUUGUAGGUGUUGUGAAUGGGGAUAGAGUACGUUAUCAUCGGUAUAUUAGAGUUGUAUAAGAGAUGUUGUAGGUGUUCUGAAUGGGUAUAGAGUACGUUAUCAUUGGUAUAUUAGAGUUGUAUAAGAGAUGUUGUAGGUGUUGUGAAUGGGUAUAGAGUACGUUAUAAUCGGUAUAUUAGAGUUGUAUAAGAGAUGUUGUAGGUGUUGUGAAUGGGUAUAGAGUACGUUAUCAUUGGUAUAUUAGAGUUGUAUAAGAGAUGUUGGUGUUUUGAAUGGGGAUAGAGUAUGUUAUUAUAGGUAUAUUAGAGUUGUAUAAGAGAUGUGGUAGGUGUUGUGAAUGGGUAUAGAGUACGUUAUCAUCGGUAUAUUAGAGUUGUAUAAGAGAUGUUGUAGGUGUUGUGAAUGGGUAUAGAGUACGUUAUCAUCGGUAUAUUAGAGUUGUAUAAGAGAUUUUGGUGUUUUGAAUGGGGAUAGCGUCCGUUAUCAUCGGUAUAUUAGAGUUGUAUAAGAGAUGUUGUAGGUGUUUUGAAUGGGGAUAGAGUACGUGAUCAUCGGUAUAUUAGAGUUGUGUAAGAGAUGUUGUAGGUGUUGUGAAUGGGUAUAGAGUACGUUAUCAUCGGUAUAUUAGAGUUGUAUAAGAGAUGUUGGUGUUUUGAAUGGGGAUAGAGUAUGUUAUUAUCGGUAUAUUAGAGUUGUAUAAGAGAUGUGGUAGGUGUUGUGAAUGGGUAUAGAGUACGUUAUCAUAGGGAUAUUGCAGUUGUGCAAGAGAUGUUGUAGGUUUUUUUGUGAAUGGGUAUAGAGUACGUUAUCAUCGGGAUAUUGUAGUUGUGCAAGAGAUGUUGUAGGUUUUCUGAAUGGGUAUAGAGUACGUUAUCAUCGGUAUAUUAGAAACGUUAGGAUUGUAUGAUGAUGUUGUUGUUAUUAUUAUUAUUAUUAUUAUUAUUAUUAUUAUUAUUAUUAUUAUUAUUGAGAGUCUGGGUGGCCAUCUGUUGGGAGUGCUUGGAUUGUGUCCUGCAUGGCAGAUGGUGGGAGGUGUUAGCUCUCCGUGAUUGUUUAGUGUCUGGCAUUCCUGUGUUUGAAGAGUGUUGUUUUUUAUUUGGUGUUGUGAUUUUAAGCUUGUUAAAAUAUUAGGAGUCAGAUUGUGUUGAUUGUCAUGGUUGAUAGCAUAUCUUUAAAAUAUUGAGUGUUAAAAUCGGUUGGAUAUUGUAGAAGGAAGAGUAUAUGGAGAGAAAUAAUUCGGAUGAUGGGCGGGCGCUAGGACCCAGGGGACAGCUUUUUCCCAUUGCCUGCCUUUCCUCUUGCGGCGGCCAUUAUGUUUUCUCUUUUCCUCCCUCCCGGCAUGGCUCCCAAUGGUUCCCAAUGGGGCGUUGUGGGUUCUCUCCAUGUGGAGCUGCGUGAAGUGAGUUUGUGUUGUUUCAACCUUAAGGCGUGGAUGAUGGGAUGUGUUGUCAAAUUUGGGGGCCCUUUACUUUUGUUGUUUUGCUCGGUGCCCGAAUUCCAUCACUCUUUUAUAUAUAUAGAUGGAGGGGCAGUAUUGCACCAUUUCCUUAAUACAUCUAUUUUAAUUUUUUUUCUUUUAUUAUAAAACAUUUAACAUGAUGCAAUUGCAUUGUUACAUUGACUAUUCCCAAAUCUAUGCUCCCCCACCCACAUCAUACACAGAACUUUAUAGUAAA